AGUGAACGCUGGCGGUAGGACUAACACAUGCAAGUCGAACGAGUGGCGGACGGGUGAGUAAUGUCUGGGACACUGCCCGAUGGAUGGGGAUAACUACUGGAAACGGUAGCUAAUACCGCCUACCAUCGCAAGUGCCCAGAUGGGAUGAGCUUGUCGGUGAGGUAACGGCUAACCUAGCCGACGAUCCCUAGCGGGUCUGAGAGGAUGACCAGCCAAACUGGAACUGAGACACGGUCCAGACUCCGACGGGAGGCAGCAGUGGGGAAUAUUGCACAAUGGGCGCAAGCCUGAUGCAGCCAUGCCGCGUGUAUGAAGAAGGCCUUCGGGUUGUAAAGUACUUUCAGCGGGGAGGCGUUACCCGCAGAAGAAGCACCGGCGAACUCCGGGCCAGCAGCCGCGGUAAUAC
rnacentral:rRNA from 1 species